GUUGCCGCAGCCGCGGUAAUACUAGGGUGCAGCGUUAAUCGGAAUUACUGGGCGUAAAGCGUGCGCAGGCGGCCUGAUAAGUCAGAUGUGAAAUCCCCGAGCUCAACUUGGGAACUGCGUUUGAAACUAUCAAGCUAGAAUAUGUCAGAGGGGGGUAGAAUUCCACGUGUAGCAGUGAAAUGCGUAGAGAUGUGGAGGAAUACCAAUGGCGAAGGCAGCCCCCUGGGAUAAUAUUGACGCUCACGCACGAAAGCGUGGGGAGCAAACAGGAUUUUUAUACCCUGGUAGUCCACGCCCUAAACGAUGUCAACUGGUUGUUGGACGGCUUGCUGUUCAGUAACGAAGCUAACGCGUGAAGUUGACCGCCCUGGGGAGUACGGCCGCAAAGUUGAAACUCAAAGAAAUUGACGGGA
rnacentral:rRNA from 1 species